AGCGAACGCUGGCGGCAGGCUUAACACAUGCAAGUCGAACGGGCAUCUUCGGAUGUCAGUGGCAGACGGGUGAGUAACACGUGGGAACGUACCCUUCGGUUCGGAAUAACUCAGGGAAACUUGAGCUAAUACCGGAUACGCCCUUUUGGGGAAAGGUUUACUGCCGAAGGAUCGGCCCGCGUCUGAUUAGCUUGUUGGUGGGGUAACGGCCUACCAAGGCGACGAUCAGUAGCUGGUCUGAGAGGAUGAUCAGCCACACUGGGACUGAGACACGGCCCAGACUCCUACGGGAGGCAGCAGUGGGGAAUAUUGGACAAUGGGCGCAAGCCUGAUCCAGCCAGGCCGCGUGAGUGAUGAAGGCCUUAGGGUUGUAAAGCUCUUUUGUCCGGGACGAUAAUGACGGUACCGGAAGAAUAAACCCCGGCUAACUUCGU
rnacentral:rRNA from 1 species